rnacentral:rRNA from 1 species
GGNUCAACCAAUGUAUGCUUUGGAAACUGUUAGACUUGAGUGCAGAAGGGGAGAGUGGAAUNCCAUGUGUAGCGGUGAAAUGCGUAGAUAUAUGGAGGAACACCGGUGGCGAAAGCGGCUCUCUGGUCUGUCACUGACGCUGAGGCUCGAAAGCGUGGGUAGCGAACAGGAUUAGAUACCCUGGUAGUNCACGCCGUAAACGCUGAGUGCUAGGUGUUAGGUCCUUUCCGGGACUUAGUGCCGACGCUAACGCAUUAAGCACUCCGCCUGGGGAGUACGACCGCAAGGUUGAAACUCAAAGGAAUUGACGGGGGCCCGCACAAGCGGUGGAGCAUGUGGUUUAAUUCGAAGCAACGCGAAGAACCUUACCAGGUCUUGACAUCCCGAUGCCCGCUCUAGAGAUAGAGUUUUUCUUCGGAACAUCGGAGACAGGUGGUGCAUGGUUGUCGUCAGCUCGUGUCGUGAGACGUUGGGUUAAGUCCCGCAACGAGCGCAACCCUUAUUGUUAGUUGCCAUCAUUAAGUUGGGCACUCUAGCGAGACUGCCGGUAAUAAACCGGAGGAAGGUGGGGAUGACGUCAAAUCAUCAUGCCCCUUAUGACCUGGGCUACACACGUGCUACAAUGGUUGGUACAACGAGUCGCAAGCCGGUGACGGCAAGCUAAUCUCUGAAAGCCAAUCUCAGUUCGGAUUGUAGGCUGCAACUCGCCUACAUGAAGUCGGAAUCGCUAGUAAUCGCGGAUCAGCACGCCGCGGUGAAUACGUUCCCGGGCCUUGUACACACCGCCCGUCACACCACGAGAGUUUGUAACACCCAAAGUCGG